UUGAAAUAAACCUGAUGGGUUGUUGCUGGUUCUCUUAGGGAGCAUGUGCACACCUUGUCAUCUUUAUAUCUCCACCUGUGCACUUUUUGUAGGCCUUUUAUAGGUCUAUGUUGCUUCAUUUACCCCAAUGUAUGUUAAUAGAAUGUUGUGCCUAUAUAAUAAAUA
rnacentral:misc_RNA from 1 species